CUGUUUGGAAAUUCCAGGGCAGUGGUUUUUCAAACGGUCGAAGCUCAGGACUGGACGAAGCUCAGGACUGGACAAUGACCAACAUGGUUUUUCUUGUCACCAAUGCCAGUCUUUGGAAAUUGGAGUCAGCCAAAGAACUUGAAGAACUCAGCUGCUUCCAACAACAUGACUCAUCCAAACGUCAUAGCCUCAUUAGCGAGUACCCUCAGUGGAGCCCCUCUGACUGUGUGUGGCCCGGCCCACCCCUGGAAUAUGACAGUGGAAUGAUGAGUUGGAGACAAUAAAAACUGAAUGAGUUUCAGACACUUGGACGUCACUCGCUCAGCCCCUGUAAUCACAAGAGCUGGUUUCAAUGGACAGCAAAACUCUGCUGACUCAUGAGGAAGGGACUCUGACCUGUCCCCCUGCUGUCCAAUUACAGUGUCAAUUUAGGACCCAGGACAACACAGACAUGGACUUAGUGGAAACAGUGACCGGAGCGUUAGAAGUGGGUCCUGAAGGUUGCAGGUUUGAAUCCACCAUCUGCCAAGUUACCACUGACACUGUGUGAUGUAGUUCACCAUCCUUUCCUUAAAGGUGGGAUGUAGUCACUGCCCCUAGUCACCCAUUAUAACAUACACUGUAUGUAGGUUUGUUCUCUGUGAAACCACAGAAGGUUUAUUACUCAGAGACUAAAAGGCUAGAAGGUUCUGGAUCCAAGAUUGGACAAAUUUGAUUAGCAUAGUACGUAACACAGAUUUAGGUCAAGUCAUAAAUAACAUUAAAUGAAUGCAUCCCCCAUGUUACCAUUGAGAACUGGUUAACAUUACAAUUUUAGAGUUUAUUGAUGGUUUGGAAUCCAUUUAAAUGUAUUGAUUAAAUGUUCUUUAAAGGGGGGAGGGGCCAGUAUUAAAAUGACCAGACUUACAAUAGAAUAUAACUGCUGCACUCCAGUCCACCCUGUAAACCUACUACUAAUACCUGACUGAUGCAUCUCCAACAUUCUUUGUCUAAUUUAUCCAUUAUCUCUCCUCAGCACAUGUCCAGACCAUCUCCAUCAUGGCUCUCUAACAUUAUCCACUUCACCUUAGCUGUUUGUCUGACAUAUUUAUGUCAAUGGCCUCACUGUCAAUAACAUAGAAAAGAGAGGGAUCUUUAGUUCACAUCUGCGACAAACAGAGUCACACUGAGACAAUCUGGCAACUAAACAUUACCAAAGGAGAAACAGCCAACACUUCAGGAACUCUGCGUAAGGCUGAAUGCAGAGAUGUACCAUUUCAGAUGAGUAUUUCAUUCUAUUUUUACUAAAAAUUAAUGAGGAUGAGGACUGAAUCAUUACAGGCAACACUCACACUGUGCCACAGUUGUGUACUAAAUAUUCCAUCUAAUCCAGAAUAUGCAGAUAUCAGUGUCUGCUGCUUCACACAGCCUCUAAGGUAAAGACUAAGCUAAAGAAAAUAUCAAACUGUUUCUCUAAAAUCUCUCUGAUACACUGCACUACAUCUGCAAGGCAUUACGUGUUUGCAUCACCUGUGCAGCUAUCUAAGCAAAUAAUAAAAUGUUUCUGUGAUAAGUGGCAGAUGGGCAACACAACGGGAAAAUAACGGGGUGCUGAGUAAUAAGUGGUUAAAAACUUUCAAUUUGCACGUGGCAGCUUUAAUCAUUGUCUUUUCCUCAUCCCUUUGCUUUCUUUCUUACCUCGCUUCUCCAUUGCCUGUUACAGCAGCAGCAGCAGCAGAUUCAGAAAUCUGAGCUGUCCUACUUUUCCUUAGAGAGAGGGGGAGGCGCAGAGAGAAAGAGAGAGAUGCAGUCUCUAUGACCUACAUGAAUUCAAUCCUCUUCAGCUUUGACCAGAUGAAAUGCCUACAGGCAGCAAGACUUUGCUCUUUUUGCAGAGAGGACACAGAUAUGUGCACCUGUGUUCACGCAAUUAUGAGUAACCUGAAACUUAGUAUCAAAUAAAAAUACGUUAAUUUUAAUAGGGGACGUUCUCUACCAGGGAAAGAUUGAAUUUAAAGGGUUCUAUCGACAGUGACAGUGAAAGUUUUACAAAGAAAUGUUCAUUUGUAGAAUAGGAACACUACAGACAGACAUGCACUGGAUACUCCGACGGUCUAAACUAAAGAGACUGAUGGAGCAACGCUAUCAGGACUGAGCAUUAUUUGCAGGAGUAAUGGGAUCUUGCCCCAUUAGCUGGGUAAAAGUUGUGGCUUCUAAUCUUACGCUCUCUAACCCCCUGGGACGAGAAGUGAAAGAUGGAUCGCUUAAAGGUGCCUGGGUGGUCCAGUCGUGCUCCCGAUGAAAACACAUUUAUUUCAUUUGAGAUCUAAUUUAGGCACCGUGUAAAUUAUUAACCACCUGCUAAUAUUUAUAACCUGUGGUUUCCAACCUUCACCUCAAUAAAAACGGUAAAACGUGACCAAUAAGAUGCCUCCAUACAUUUUAUAACAAACCCCAGCCUUCCAGUGGUUGGUGAUAUAUUUCAGAGAUUUAAUCCUCAUCUCUGGUGGUCUGCAAUGCCGUUGUGCCCCUGGGCAGAACAGUUAACCCCAAGUUGUACCUUCAGUGUUAGAUAAAUCUGCCUUACCUGCCUUGUUAUUUAGAAACUGGUCAUGCGUAUCAGUGAGUCCCAUUGUGCAUGUGUGUCUCAGUGUGACAGCAGCAGGUCCAGGCAUGUUUUCAUUUAGCUGUGAGGGAUAAAUACGGCCCUGACACAUGAGAUGUUCCAGAGUCAACCACAACCUGCCUGGCUCUCCUCCAGGUUGCAGUUGUUCAACCACAACUGAACAAUUUGUAUUUGACAGCAACGCUGCGAUGUAUCCUGCAAAUCUUAUCUCGGCACCGACGAGUGUGCACGGCUGAGAACGAGACAAGUAAUCUGACAAAGCAUUACCAAAUUAAUGUCUGUCAAGGCCUGAAAAAGAUGUAUGUGUGUGUGUGUGUGUGUGUUUGAGAAUGUCUGUGCAUUAAGCAGAUUACAUAUGUGUAUGUGUGUUUAAUGGUCUCAAAAGGAGACCUUUCAACACUUGAAAUAAUAAUAAUAAUAAUAAUAAU